rnacentral:rRNA from 1 species
UACGUAGGGGCCUAGCGUUGUCCGGAUUUAUUGGGCGUAAAGAGCUCGUAGGCGGUUCGGCAAGUCGGAUGUGAAAUCUCCACGCUUAACGUGGAGGGGCCAUUCGAAACUGCCGUGACUCGAGUCCGGUAGGGGAGUGUGGAAUUCCCGGUGUAGCGGUGAAAUGCGCAGAUAUCGGGAGGAACACCCAGGGGGAAACCAGUCGACUGGGCAUCAGCUGACGCUGAGGUGCGAGAGCGUGGGGAGCGAACCGG